rnacentral:rRNA from 1 species
UACGUAGGGCGCAGGCGUUAAUCGGAAUUACUGGGCGUAAAGCGUGCGCAGGCGGUCUUUUAAGUCAGAUGUGAAAUCCCCGGGCUUAACCUGGGAACUGCGUUUGAAACUGGAAGGCUAGAGUGUGGCAGAGGGGGGUGGAAUUCCACGUGUAGCAGUGAAAUGCGUAGAUAUGUGGAGGAACACCGAUGGCGAAGGCAGCCCCCUGGGCUAACACUGACGCUCAUGCACGAAAGCGUGGGGAGCAAACAGG